ACUGAAACUUGGCGUACGACAAAACCCAGAAACUGUCUUACGCACAAAUAAAUUCAGAUGUAUCAAAGUGUGCGAACGCAUGGAUCCAAGCACGUUUCUUUUGUACAUCUCGAUCAACGUGGAAUUGAGCGCACAUGCCGAGGUGCCAAACUCCUCCCUGUCCACGCCCUCAUUUAAAUAUGCAAUUUCAUUUAAAUAGGCCUCUGGACCUGAGAUUCACCUCUUAAUCCGAUCACCUGGCACCAUGAACAGAGGCAAAAAACGAAACUUCACAGAGUCUGAGCUCGAGAUUUUGCUCCACGAGGUAGAAAUGCGCAAGCAUAUGCUAUUGGAACCCUGUCAACAGGGAUAAAUGCAAAACAAAAGAGAAGUGAGUGGGAGUGUGUUUGCGAGGCCGUCAAUGCAGUGGGGUCUCAGCAGCGCACACACUCUGAAAUUAAAAAAAAGUGGUCAGACCUCAAGGUGGAGGUGAAGCGGAGGGUUUCUGCCCACCGCCGAAGCGUGACCGCAACAGGUGGGGGGACGGGAGUGGGGGAACUCUCCCCCUUCGAUUUGAGAGUGGCCGCUUUGAUCGGUGACACAGCUCUCACCGGAGUGGUGGGAGCCCAUGAAGGGGACACCGAUCAUCCCCAAGACAAGCAAGGAGAGGGCACGGUUUGCUCCCGGCCCCGGCGUCUCCAGCGCCCUUCGGAUUUGACCAUUUGCGAUGUCCUCUAACAACGCUAACGCAGCCAUUUUUAAAACAAUUUUCUUCAUCCAUUGCGCAUGCUUUUAUAGCCACCCAUAUAAUUGCAAGUUUCCCAGCGUCACCUCUAAGUGUCGCCAAAGGAACAA